AAUGAACGUUGGCGGCGUGGAUUAGGCAUGCGAGUCGAGCGAGAACCGUAGCAAUACGGGGACAGCGGCGAAAGGGAGAGUAAUGUGUGGAUAUCUACCUCCAGGCCUGGGACAACUACGGGAAACUGUAGCUAAUACCAGAUAAUGUCUGCGGACCAAAGGUGUGAUUCCUCCGGGAGAUGAGUCCACAUCCUAUUAGCUAGUUGGUAGGGUAAUGGCCUACCAAGGCAAUGAUGGGUAGCAGGUGUGAGAGCACGACCUGCCUCAUCGGGACUGAGACACUGCCCAGACACCUACGGGUGGCUGCAUGCGAGAAUCUUCGGCAAUGGGCGCAAGCCUGACCGAGCGAUGCCGCGUGCGGGAUGAAGGCCUUCGGGUUGUAAACCGCUGUCAGAGGGGAUGAAAUACGUCGGGGGUUCUCCCCCGAGUUUGACAUAUCCUCAGAGGAAGGACGGGCUAAGUUCGUGCCAGCAGCCGCCGUAA
rnacentral:rRNA from 1 species